GACGAACCGUCCAAACGUUAUUCGGAAUCACUGGGCUUAAAGGGUGCGUAGGCGGCCCGGAAAGUUGGGUGUGAAAGCCCUCGGCUCAACCGAGGAAAUGCGCCCAAAACUGUCGGGCUAGAGGGAGACAGAGGUGAGCGGAACUUAGGGUGGAGCGGUGAAAUGCGUUGAGAUCCUAAGGAACACCAGUAGCGAAAGCGGCUCACUGGGUCUCUUCUGACGCUGAGUGCACGAAAGCCAGGGGAGCGAAGAGGAUUAGAUACCCCAGUA
rnacentral:rRNA from 1 species